GGCUCCUUCAACCCCUGAGAUCUUAAACAAAAUCUCUGGCUUUUCUUCUGACCUGGGAAGGAGGAACUCCGGCUGCGGUGGCCGUGUGCUGUGAACAGAAAGAACCCGUGCUGGUACACCAGGCAUGUGCUGCCACCCAGCGAGGCCAGCAGUCUACCAACUGAGCUAACUGCCAGCUGCCGCCCUUCCAAGCCCAAGCCCGGAAGAUGUGAGUAGCUCGGGGUGAGAUUUCUGACCCACAACACCUCCCAUCCCAGCACUGGAGACUGAAGCAUGGAUUCUGAGGCCAGCCUGGGCUACCAAAGAAGACUGUGUUUU